ACAAAUCAUUUUACAUAGUGCGAAUAAAAGACCGAGCCUUCGGUUAGUAAGAUCGCCCUAUGAUUCAUUGUUUAUGGUAACAAUAAGAAUUGUCGCAAUCGCAAUGGAAGAAUGUUUAGAAUUCAAUGUAUCAUCUUACGACUUUGUCUCAUUUUUCAUUUCACAGCCAAGAUGAAUGAAACAAGAAAGUGGAAGUAAAAUCAUUUAAUUAAUUAAAAAUAUUUAAUGCUAUUAAUUAAGGCGAAUGGAGAUCUACAUCCAGUAUUAAAGUCAACAAAACAAAAAUGAACUCAGUCAGUGAUUUGCGAUAUCGAUAACGACCUUAACAAAAUUAACACUAAUGAAAAAUUUAUCAAUGAACAUUCAAUUCAUAAUUUCUAAAGUUAAUUAAAAAAAAAUAGCAAGUAAUAAGAAUAAAAAUGAAAAAUACAUGGGCCAUCGACUUUCCCUGAAUGACUGUAAUAUAUGAAA